rnacentral:rRNA from 1 species
CCUACGGGUGGCAGCAGUGGGGGAUAUUGCACAAUGGGGGAAACCCUGAUGCAGCGACGCCGCGUGGGCGAAGAAGUAUUUCGGUAUGUAAAGCUCUAUCAGCAGGGAAGAAGAAAUGACGGUUCCUGAGUAAGAAGCACCGGCCAAAUACGUGCCAGCCGCCGCGGUAAUAAGGAGGGUGCAAGCGUUAUCCGGAUUUACUGGGUGUAAAGGGAGGGCAGGCGGGUAGGCAAGCCUGAAGUGAAAGCCCGCGGCCCAACCGCGGGACUGCAUUGGGAACUGUCUGGCUGGAGUGCCGGAGAGGUAGGCGGAAUUCCUAGUGUAGCGGUGAAAUGCGUAGAUAUUAGGAGGAACACCAGUGGCGAAGGCGGCCUGCUGGACGGUGACUGACGCUGAGGCUCGAAAGCGUGGGGAGCAAACAGGAUUAGAUACCCGAGUAGUC